rnacentral:lncRNA from 1 species
UUUGCCAUUAAUUAUCCCACCUCAUUUUUUUACCCCAUUUAAUUAACUAACUAAUCAUUCCCCUAAUUAUCCAUAAACUCUCUCUCUCUCGUCUUCAUUAAACUCUCUCUCUCGUCUUCAUUUUGAGUGUCCGGCCGAAUUCCAUGAAACUCUCUCUCUCUCGUCUUCAUUUUUUUUAGUGUCCGGCCAACGCCUGCCCUUCUCCGGCACAGCAGCGACCGCGGAGAACCCACGGUCACCGCCGCACGCCACCACUUCUCUCAUCUCUUCCUCCUUCGACCGUACCCACACAGAGACACAAAACCCAGACCCCGACGCCGCAUCCCUCACUAAUUUCCGGCGUCCUCCCUGGCACCUUCGUGCCCCUCGCCUCCCUAACUGAACUCCGGUGGUGGCAACGAGGGCACCGCCGACCGCCUCUGCUCUCCUCUACCUUUCUCAAUAAAAACCCUAGAUCCCCAAUUUCUCCCGCUCGAUUCCCGGCGACGACAGCCAACCACCAUCGCGCUCCAGCCCCUACCUCCCUCUCUCUAACCGUCCUUGGCCGGACACCAGUGGCAGGACCGCGUGCCCUGGCCUUCCUCUGUUCAACUCCGGCAGGCAGCAGCAACAGCACCCUUCGCCGCCCUCUAUUUUCCUCAGCCGGACAAUUCACGGCCAAACCACCCCCGGUCUGACUCGACUCACAC